UAUGAAUGAUGGUGACAUGUGUAGAACAGCAGCUCCUGACUGGUUCAGUGUGUUUGCAUAUGUGUGCUGCCUCUCUGCUUCCAGCAGUUAAAGCUCAGUGUUGAUCAGUGGCUGUCCAGACCUUUCAGAGACUCGGACUCGCCCGCAGCACAAUGAUGAUGUCACUGACUCUGCUGCUCUUCACCCUGGAGCUCCUCGUUCAGGCUUCAUCAGGAGAACUGCUGACUCAGACUACUGGAGCUCAGUCUGUAGUUCAAGGACAGACUGUCUCCAUCACAUGUAAAACCAGUCAAAGCCCUAGCUACUGCUUCAACUGGUAUCUUCAGAAACAAGGAGAAGUCCCUAAACUUCUUAUUCGUUGUACAAGCACUCGUCAGUCUGGAGUUUCUGAUCGUUUCAGUGGAUCAAACUCUGGAUUAGAUUACACUCUGACCAUCAGUGGAGUUCAGCCUGAAGAUUCAGGAGUUUAUUACUGUCAGACUGGCUAUGACAUCAACAGUCAAGCUGUGUUAACACUGUGAAAAACCGUCGUACAAAAACCUCCAUCAGAAACUGAACUGAGAAUGAAACAGUUC